rnacentral:rRNA from 1 species
AUGUCUGCCUCAGUUGAUCGCUCUCCCCCAUGGGAGGAAGGCCGCCCCUCGGUCCGCAUCAGGUUUUCCUCUUCUGCCCCCAACGGGACGGUGGUCGAGAGGCUCACCGACGACCUCAUCGUUGAGAUCCUCUCGCGCGUCCCGGCCAAGUCGCUCUGCCGCUUCAAGUGCGUCUCCAACCACUGGCUGAGCCUCAUCCACCACCCGGAACACCGCAAAAAGCUGCCCCAAACCCUGGCUGGCUUCUUCUACACCGGCACCGACGUGGAGCGCCUCCCGAAAUCAGCACCCCACUUCGUCAAUGUCUCGGGGAGAAGCUGCCCUCCGAUAGACACCUCUUUCUCCUUUCUGCCCAACCACCGACGACUCGAUCUGCUGGACUGCUGCGACGGCCUCCUUCUCUGCCGCUGGCACUCCGUCGGGACUGACGAGUGCCGUUACAUCGUGUGCAAUCCCGCGAGGGAGGAAUGGGUCAUGCUGCCGGAACCCAGCCAGGCGGAGUCAAGGAAGGUGAGCAUUGUACGUCUGGGUUUCGACCCGGCCGUGUCUUCCCGCUUCUAUGUGUUUGUGUUGAUGGAUGAUGUCCGCCAUGUGUCGUACACCAUCGCAGCAGUGGAUGUGUAUUCAUCGGAAACUAGGAGAUGGGUUCGUAAGGAAAGGGGAUGGAAUGAGAGGAUUGGACAUCUUGGCGGCCAGUAUCAGUCUACUGUCUUCCUUAAGGGAUGCUUGCAUUUUGUCGCCUAUGGCUCCAGGCCGUCACCCAUUUGUGUAGCUGCUGUGGACACGGAGGGGAAAACAUCGACGACCUUCCGCGUCCCUAGUUAUGUGCCUAAUGGUAUUUUGCAGCAGUCACAGGGCUGUUUGCAUUAUUCCAGUUUUCAGAGUGAAGAUGGUCUUGUGCUUCGACUAGUUGUUAAUGUUCUCAAGGACUAUGAAACCAAAGAGUGGAUGUUGAAGCACACCAUUAAAACUAAAUACUUAUCUGGAGGGAUACAUUUUAAUGGUUACCGUGUGAUUGGAGUUCAUCCGGAGUGUGACUUGAUCUUCUAUACCGCGGGACGGGCUACGGAAGUCAUGUGCUACAAUAUGAGUAGUCGGGAAGUAAAAGUGAUCUCCAAACUUGAAGAUGGUGGUCCGCCGUAUCUGCCAUAUGUGCCACUAUAUGCAGAGUUACAACCAUUGCUUAUGUGA